AACGAACGCUGGCGGCAUGCCUAACACAUGCAAGUCGAACGAGACCUUCGGGUCUAGUGGCGCACGGGUGCGUAACGCGUGGGAACCUGCCCUUAGGUUCGGAAUAACUCCCGAAAGGGGUGCUAAUACCGGAUAAUGUCUUCGGACCAAAGAUUUAUCGCCUUUGGAUGGGCCCGCGUUGGAUUAGCUAGUUGGUAGGGUAAAAGCCUACCAAGGCGACGAUCCAUAGCUGGUCUGAGAGGAUGAUCAGCCCACUGGGACUGAGACACGGCCCAGACUCCUACGGGAGGCAGCAGUGGGGAAUAUUGGACAAUGGGCGAAAGCCUGAUCCAGCAAUGCCGCGUGAGUGAUGAAGGCCUUAGGGUUGUAAAGCUCUUUUACCCGGGAUGAUAAUGACAGUACCGGGAGAAUAAGCUCCGGCUAACUCCGUG
rnacentral:rRNA from 1 species